GGGAGAAUCAGGAAAAGCUUAAUGGAAAAAUUGACAUUUGGGCUGGAUCCUGAAGGGUCUGUAAAUAUUAGGGUGGAUGGGGAGAGUGUAAGAUGAAUUGUCAAAGCAGGUGAAAUAAAUAUUUGCAAAUGAAGACAGGUGUGGAAAGGCAUAAUGUUUGUCAGGGUGCAAGACUGGAGUGCUGUGCUUGGGAAACAGGACUUUAUUCCACAGCCAUUUGGACUCUGCAGUCAUGUGAAAAUUCUGAGCUGAACUUCGGCACCACCCCUUGGGCACUGAUUUAUAGCCUACAUAGACAAACAGAAUGGGUUGUAAUAUAGUCAACCCACCGAUAUCUAGUACCUUCCCAAUUGUACACAUAUCUUGGACCAAGUAGACUUUAUAGUGUGUCCAUCAUUUAAAAGAACUGAAGAAUUCAGCUGAAAAACUCUUAGCCCAUUUGCUUCCUCCCAGUUUACUCAGUCUAAUAUGAAUCUCUGCAUUUCAGGGAGAACAGAGCAACUGAAGAGAUAAGAACUCAUUGAAAGUUAUAAGAAACUCAAUGGUCAAAUGAAAGAUUUUAAAACAAGGUUAUGGCUGUUUCUACAUAAGGUCACCAAACAUGAUAAAUAUGAAAAAAAGCACAUUUUCUCUAUGAAAUAAAGCAGCAGAUUCUCUGACCUCUGCCCCACUAUAUCAAGACUCAAUACUAGAUGAUAUAUAAUGAUUAUAUGGAAGGACUGUCCCACUGUAUUCACAUAUAGUGUUUUAGAACAGAAUAUAGCAUUUGUUUUAGGAUGGUAAAUCAUAAUCCCUUUCAAUAUAGGUAUUCAACUCUUUGUUUAAAAUCCUCCAAUCCAUUUCUAUGAGAAUUAAAUCUAAAUUCCUUGCCAUGCCCUGUAAAAUAUCCCAGUACUUGAAGCCUUCAUGAUCCUGAACUCAUCUCCGGUCAACCUCCUUUGGGCUUAUAUAUCAGCCAAACUACCUUUCUAUCUAUUCCUCAAACAUCAAGCUAAUACCCCAGGGCCUUUGCACUUGCUCUUUGUACUGCUCUCAUUCUUUUUCCCCAAGAUGCAAAUAGCCUGUUUUAUCUGUCAGAUCCAAUCCCAAAUGUCACCACCCUAUCUGUUCUAAAUUAGACAUAUACACGAUCCAACCUCAACAGCCCCAUCACACUCAAUCAUACCACCCCUCUUAUCUGAAAUCAUUCCAUUUAUUCCCUUGCUUCUGUAUUUAUUCUGCCUUCCCCUUCCAUUCCUGCGCAACAUAUACACGCACUAGGUUGCAAAUACGAGAGCAAGUAACUUGCUCAUGUUCUUUAGGACUGUUUCCAUUUGGGCCUAGGACAGGAGGUUCCCAGGCUAGGGGUCUAAUUGGAGCUGUAGCCACCAGCCUACACCACAGCCACAGCAACUCGGGAUCCGAGCCACGUAUAUGACCUUCACCACAGCUCAUGGCAACACCAGAUCCUUAACCCACUGAGCAAGGCCAGGGAUCGAAACCACAACCUCAUGGUUCCUAGUCGGAUUCGUUAACCACUGAGCCACAACGGGAACUCCCCCUCCCCCAAUUAUUCCUUGAAUCAGCUUCACCAUUUCACUUUCUCUACUAAAAUGUUCUUCAUUUUACCUCCAUAUGUCCCAGAAGAAAGUUUAAACAGCUUUAAACUCAAAGGGGUGCACAAUACUCCAGCAAACUCUGGCACAGUUCAUGUAGGUGUGAAAUCAGUGUGCCUGUUCCCAUGUACACCUAGGAAUAUUCUUCUAGGAAUAUUUGUAUGUCUAUAUUUGUAUAUGUAUUGACAUGUAUUUGUAUGUCUCCUUACAGUUCAGCAGCAUGCAAAUACUAUUUGGCACAUGUAUUUUAUUCUAGUGAGACAGUUCUUUUGCUGUGUAGUCUGAAGUCUGAAAGCCAUGCUGUAUUUAAAGCUCUUAGAAAGAGUAGAAUGAAUCUUGUUUGUUGGUACCCAGUAUGUCUGAGGAACCAGCUCUGGCCUAGUCAUCAUCAAGCUUAUGUUACCAACUCUGUUAAUAUAUAUUAAAGUAUGUCAGGUAAACCUACAUCCAGAAUAUAACAUGUUCACCUUCUGCGGUAGCAUCGUUUAUCAAAAAGGAUCCACUUCAGUUCAUACUUUAUUUAAUUGUCGUUUGUUGCUUGUUGGAAUUAAAAAGGUAAACAUUUUAAAAUGUAUUUCUUUCACGCAGCAAUGUUCUAAAGGAAAAUCUUAAAGAUAGAAGCUUAUUUCUUUCUACUUUCCUAAAACAUACAUAAGACUUUAUUUUAAAACAAUGGCACUAAAAUAUACUGCCAGUGUUGAUGUUUUCUCAUCUAAACUUCUUUUUAAAAUCUUUAUACUUAUAAUGUUCUCUACAUUUUAUUCAAACAAGCAAACACUGAGUAAGCUGCAUUUUAUUGUUUUCUCACAUUAUUUGUAUGCCAAAGGAAAAAGGCAAAAUUGUACUUUUUCAUCAUUUCAGCAGAGUUAAUAUUAGUAUAGGUAUUAACUUUGUGAAGACCUCAAACAGAAGGGGAGAUCUGGUAUGCAUCAUUAUUACACAGAUUAUCUAUUAAUGUAAUUCACCACAUUACAAUGUUAAAGAAGAAACAAAUAAUGGUUAUAUCAGCAGAUGAAAUACCUCUCAUUCAUGUCAAACAAAAGCUUAGCAAACUUGGAAUAAAAGGGAAUUUCCUCAAUUCUCUUGAAAUAUUAUGUUUAGUAAUGAAACAUUGGAAGAAUUCCUUUAAAAUUUGAAAUUACCCUAAAAUGUUCAUUAUCAUUGCUUCAACACAUCCUAUCAGAGAUCUUUAAGCACAAAAGUCAAAAACAAGGAGAGAAUAAAAUAUGAUUGCAAAUGUUAUCUAUAUAUCUAUAUCUAUAUUCAUAUUAAUGCAAUGAUAUGAUAUAAAUGCAAAAAUCUAAUGAAAAAUAUGCAAAGCUUUUGCAAAAGGAUGUUAAAGUGGAAAUUUAGAAUGAGUUGCAGAUGGCAGAUAUCUGAUACCAAAGAGAGUUGUAGACAAAUAAGUGGCAUAUUUUCAGAGGAAAUAUUCAAAAUAAUUUAUGUCCUGUCUCUUAAUAUACCACAUCAUGACAUACUUAUGAAAAAUACCUGAAAGGGAAUUAUGGGUAGGUGGAGACCAUUUAAGAUCUUGUUUUCAUUAGACCUGAUAAUAUAUGUGCUUCUCACCCACACUAUAAAGUGGGAUUGAUAAGGAGAGCACAUUCUAUAUGCCAAGAUGCCCAAAAAGAAAGACUUCAGUGACCCUACUUGGAGAAUUUGAUAUAUGACCAUGCUAUGUAGAAGGCAAGUGGUCUACUGGCUGAGUGCUAGACAAAAAUCUAGAGAACAAGGAAAUGUGACAAGCUACUUUGAUGAAAGAAUUAAAAUGAUGUUAAAGUAGCUGACUUAAGAUCAGCCUGUAUCCCAGAGUUUAUGAGACUAAGGGCAUAAAUGUUUCACAAAAAUUAGAAGUAAGCCAUGAAAACGAGAGAGUUGGCUUACAGCUGGUUUUACUUCUUUCUAAUAAGAGUCAAAUGUGGUAUUUAAUAAUAAGAGUCUACACCACCCUGGAAAACCAGGGGGGCCAAGGCCACAUACAGAAUCUGGAAGAAAACGGUGUGUCAUCCAUUUCAUGGAAGCUGUAGAAGGACAGGACCCAGCAAGGGAGCUUAUGUGAAAGUUAGGAAAGAUCCCACAAUAGAGACAGCUUUGAACAUCUGCCAGGCCCAAGCCAAUUCUCCUCAAAGGUUUUUUUUGUUUGUUUGUUUUUUAAUGUAAAGCAUGUAUUUUUCAGAUAUUUUAACAAGCAGAUCUCCAAAUUUAUUUGGGAUUAAAACGUCCAAAAGUUUGUAAGUUUAAAUUUUAAGAACAAAAUUGGUGAUAGGAGAAACUUUCUGUACUUGACAUUAAAACUAAGUGCAGGGUCAGAGUAGUCGUGAUAGUGUUAGGCAAAACAAACAAAUGGAACAGAAUUAGAAACUAUAAAAUGGAUCCAGAUAUAUGUGUGUAAUUAAUUUACAAAAGCUGUAUUGGUGUUCCCGUUGUCACUCAACAGGCUAAAGACCUGACCUUGUCUCUGUGAGGAUGGGGAUUUGACCCCUGGCCUCACUCAGUGGGUUAAGGAUCCAGCAUUGCUGCAAGCUGCAGCAUAAGUCACAGAUGUGGCUCAGACCCAGUAUUACCAUGGCUAUGGCGUAGGCUGAGACUAUGGUGUAGGCUGAGGCUACAGCUCUGAAAUCAACACCUUGAUCCCUGGCCCAGGAACUUCCACAUGCUGCAAGUAUGGCUGUUAAAAAAAAAAAAAAAAAAAAAAAAA
rnacentral:lncRNA from 1 species